CUCUCUUGAAGGAGAGGCAGAAUAGCAUUCUUGAAGUUCAGGUCUGUGCUUUCCUAGUUAUGGAAGUGGCAAUGGGGUCUUGCUGGAGGGAAGUUAUGAUUGGAGGUCUUUGACUUGGAUUCUGAAGCAAUGGAGUCGAGAUGAAAUUGGCCAGCAGCUGAAUAAAAGAAAAUGAAGUUCCAUUAAUACAAUCCAUCGAAAGACAACUCAGGGUCAUCUUGGCAUGUCGAAAUUGACCACCACACAUCGAAGGGACAUUGGUAGCAGUGCCUCAACUUCUGGAGGCAGCCCAAGCCUCUGCUUCAUAGCACAAAGUACGAAUGGUGAAAAUACAUCUCAAUUUUGACUGAGAAUGAAGAAGUCCGACCGCUCUACUAAGUAGCAUCACAUGAGAUACCUCUAUCUCUCAGAACUUUUCCAAUGCUCAUCAUGUUUUUAAGCACUGAUCAGUGAAAAAAACUGAAGUCCAUUUUUUCUAGAACCUGAUCACCACCUGUCUGAAUGAAGAAACAGAGGGCUGUGUGAAAGUAAUGCCUUUGGCAACACAUACAUCGCUAAGAUCAUCUCACAUCUUCAUCUUAUCAUGUAAAGGUUUUUUCAAGCUUUGAGAACAGUGAAAACCUCAUUACGAGCUGAAAACUGAUUCGGAUUUCAAUGUUGACAAUGAAAAUAUUGUUUAUGGAAUUGCUGAAUACUCAGAUAAUGUCUAUAAAGCAACAGCCUACUCGACCAACUGUAGGCCAAGGGUAAAGGAGUAAUAUAAUUACGUCAUUCUUCACUUAUUACGGCCUUUUCCCUCUAUAUGCAUACCGAGAGAGAAGGAAAGAACUGUGAGAUGUGGUUGCUUCUGUCAUCUCCCCACUUGAUUUCAGAACACCUGUGGGUUUCCUUUUUCUCAUGUAUCAUUUGGUGGUAUUCAAAAGAUAUAAUAGGCAGUGCAGAAGAUGUGAUCGAAGGAGUAUUCCUAGUCAGCCUUUACGUUCUUGUAAUGAAAGAUGUGAAGAACCACCAGAGAAUGAAGGAAAAGCUUCCUUGGACAUUAAUAGGUUGACUGCUAUGUCGCUGAACUUGGUGCAUGAAAGGUCAGCCUUUGAAACGCUAAAUAAGUUGAAGAAGAUGUAUGAAGUAUAUACGGAAAAGUAUGCAUCCUACAGUAGCAUUUGUAUUAAAGGACCGCUUUGUGGGAGGAUUAACUCUGAUGGAGGACAGAGCAACCAGCCACCAGUAUCCUUCAUGGCAGAGUCAGGCCUCCUGUGUCCCUGGGAAAUGCCACCUGAAAUAUCCCCCUGCACACCAGCCUUUAAAAGGGAAUUUUGCAGUGUCACAGUAGCUGAGAGCAGAUCUCUCCCUACUUUGGUAGCCAUAACAGACUCAGGAGUUUAUGCUCCUGAGCACUCUCCUGCAGAAUGAGCUAUGUGCUUCCUGGAGGUAUGAAGAGUCCAGAGAAGACAUAAGGUAACUACGGAGCGGCUUCCUCAGGAGUGGUUUGUGUCUCUAUUGAAGUACUUCAGGAUGACAGAAGAGACUUUCAAUCGUACCAGCUGCAAUAACUGACGUCUUCACUUCUAAGAGGCCCGCUCAGUUCAUCAUACCCAGUCAGCAUUGGGAUGAAGGAGGACGGCACUGUCAUGAUGAGAACACUGUGAAGGAGGAUGGCACUGUCAUGAUGAGAACACUGUGUCCUUAGAAGAUGAAGCCUUCAACACUGAACCUUAAAACCAAGCCAUCCAGCUCCUGCCAGCUCCUUGUGGUUGCCUGUGGCUCCAUGGAACUGCCACAUCAAGUAAUGAACCUCAAGGUGAACCAAACCAGGAUACCACACACAUCACACCAGCCCUCCUUUGGGAAAUGCAGACCUGUCCCAGGAGUUUCAGGCAUCCUGUGUUCAUCCUGCAUCGCCUCGUUGAAGAAGUAAAACUACCUGCUGCUGAGAACUCUGAAAAGGAGCUGCAAACGUCGAGGUUCAGAGGAACCAGGAAUCCUGGCCUGCCAUCCGUACAGCCUGCUGACCUCCAGGUGGAUGUGUGAAGCAAGGAGCUGUGCCCUGGAAGCCCCAGAUGAGUGUGUGGGUCAUGUGCUGCAAGCUCCCAGGUUGCAGGGGUCCGUUUCCGUGCUGUCUGCCGAUGGUGCUGCCUGAAGGAAAACCAUGGAAACGGAGUUUGACAGGCUCACAGGGACCCACGGCUGCCAGAGCCGCUGCCUUUGAGCGCCUGAUGAAGACAUCACAGAGCAAACACAACAUUAAAACGCUGCUGGCUGCUUUGCAUCACUUAGAAUGCAAAUCUCUUUGUUCUGCUCGGCCCUUGCGUUUUGUAGCCGAGGAAUCUGUGCUAUCAUCUAACAUGGAUUUGCUGACCUUUCUUCCCUCGCUGUCCGUUCUCCUAAAAAAAAAAAAAUAUUUAAAAAAUAUGGUAAAAGAUCAGCUUUUGUGGGAAGGAGGGUGGCGUGGGUCUGUGCAUUUGAAAUGGCCCCAGUUUUUUUCAGUUCCUGGGAUUUCUGUGCACAAAUUAAACACCCAUAUUGCAGAGCAGGCUGGGUUGGGUUGCUUUGUUGCUCCCUGUGUAUUAUUUGACUUGGAUUCAUUUACAUGGCAACUCACAGGGGUAGAUUUUAUGUCAUCUUUAUGCCACAGAUUAAAAGGUAAAAGUAAUCCUUUAUUUGCACAGCACAUCCCCUCCAACCCUUUAAGCCGUACAGAUGAAAAUAGAGGAGAAAAAUGCAAACUCUCCCACCACCAUAAUGCCUACUUUAUAACUUUUUAUGCUAAAUUUAAGUGUGUGGUUAUUAUUCCGCCCUCCAUUUGUAGGUGGCCUGUACUUUUAACUGCAGUUUCUGAUUGCAGUCACUGUCAGACCUUUGAAAUGCCCCACACCUUUGUGCUCAGAUGUGGGAUUUGGGUGGCUCCUGACAGGCUGAGCUAUGCAUGGGGCCAUCAGGAAGGCUUUUUUGCU
ensembl:lncRNA